rnacentral:rRNA from 1 species
GACGAACGCUGGCGGCGUGCUUAACACAUGCAAGUCGAACGGAAAGGCCCUGCUUUUGUGGGGUGCUCGAGUGGCGAACGGGUGAGUAACACGUGAGUAACCUGCCCUUGACUUUGGGAUAACUUCAGGAAACUGGGGCUAAUACCGGAUAGGAGCUCCUGCUGCAUGGUGGGGGUUGGACAGUUUCGGCGGUUGGGGAUGGACUCGGGGCUUAUCAGCUUGUUGGUGGGGUAGUGGCUUACCCAGGCUUUGACGGGUAGCCGGCCUGAGAGGGUGACCGGCCACAUUGGGACUGAGAUACGGCCCAGACUCCUACGGGAGGCAGCAGUGGGGAAUAUUGCACAAUGGGCGGAAGCCUGAUGCAGCAACGCCGCGUGCGGGAUGACGGCCUUCGGGUUGUAAACCGCUUUCGCCUGUGACGAAGCGUGAGUGACGGUAAUGGGUAAAGAAGCACCGGCUAACUACGUG